rnacentral:rRNA from 1 species
GACAGGGGUCUCGAGCGUUAAUCGGAAUCACUGGGCUUAAAGGGUGCGUAGGCGGACCCGAACGCGUCCCGUGAAAUCCCCGGCUCAACCGGGGAACUGCGGGGCGAACGGUGGGUCUCGAGGCAGGUAGGGGUCGCCGGAACCGUAGGUGGAGCGGUGAAAUGCGUAGAUAUCUACGGGAACGCCGAUGGUGAAGACGGGCGACUGGGCCUGUCCUGACGCUGAGGCGCGAAAGCGUGGGGAGCGAACGGG